rnacentral:rRNA from 1 species
UACGUAGGGGCAAGCGUUGUCCGGAAUUAUUGGGCGUAAAGAGCGUGUAGGCGGCCAGAUAAGUCCGCUGUGAAAUCUCGAGGCUCAACUUCGAGCUGUCGGUGGAAACUAUCUGGCUAGAGUCCGGAAGAGGAGAAUGGAAUUCCUGGUGUAGCGGUGAAAUGCGCAGAUAGUCAGGAAGAACACCCGUGGCGAAGGCGGUUCUCUGGGACGGUACUGACGCUGGAGACGCGAAAGCGUGGGGAGCGAACAGG